rnacentral:lncRNA from 1 species
CCGCUGACGGUAUAAUCAAUAAAUGCGCUGGGGAAGCCCUCCUUUUGGUCGUCAACAGAGAGACUCGAUCGCCGCUGAGAAACUCGCCGGGCAGCCCAUCUUUUGGCCGUGGAAUGCAGUCAACAGAGAAUUGAAUCGCCGCUGACGGGAUAAUCAAUAAACUUGCCGGGAAUGGAUAAUUAGUUUAGGGAGGGAAAUCAGACUGUUAACUUUUUGUUUAAAUUUAUGAAAAUGGAGCACGUAUUGGCUUUAAUUAGUCUUGCUUUAAUUUUGUUAAAAUUCAAUAAUACCUUUUUCUUGUUAAAAUUUGAUAGGCAAUUAACCCUAAAUAAAAUUAAAACACUAAUAUUUCGUACUAUUAAUUAUGACGUGUUAAAUGCAUUUUUUU